rnacentral:misc_RNA from 1 species
GAUGAAGAACGCAGCAAAAUGCGAUAAGUAAUGUGAAUUGCAGAAUUCAGUGAAUCAUCGAAUCUUUGAACGCACAUUGCGCCCCUUGGUAUUCCAUGGGGCAUGCCUGUUCGAGCGUCAUUUGUACCUUCAAGCUUUGCUUGGUGUUGGGUGUUUGUCUCGCCUUUGCGUGUAGACUCGCCUUAAAAUAAUUGGGAGCCGGCGUAUUGAUUUCGGAGCGCAGUACAUCUCGCGCUUUGCACUCAUAACGACAGCGUCCAAAAGUACAUUUUACACUCUUGACCUCGGAUCAGGUAGGGAUACCCGCUGAACUUAGGCAUAUCAAUAAGCGGAGGA